rnacentral:lncRNA from 1 species
GCCAUUUCCUGGAGCAGCAUAUCCACCUGGUUCUGGGGAGUGGUCAGCGUCGUCGUGCUGCUCAUUGUGUCUUCCAUUUGCUGCGUCUGGACGUCCAGAGUCUCGAACUGGUGUUCGAAUUUGUCCAUCAAAGCGGAGAUCUUCUCCAGAUUCAUACUUUUCAACGUCGCGUCCAUCGACUUAACCACACCCGCCAUGGACUUGGUCACUUUGCCCAUCGUCACUGCAGUCUGGACACGGGCCGCCACCGCAUCCACUCGUGCACUCAUUCUCAAGAAGUUCACCCCUUGAUUCUUCUGGCGGAUGGCAUUUUCGGCGUGAAUCCUCGCAACUUCCAUGUUGCCCUUCUGAAUGGCCUUUUUAAUUUUGGCCUUUUCGGCCUUUUCUUCCUUGUCGCAUUUUUUGGAACUCCGGUUCAGUUCUUUGGCCGCGAAUUUCAGGUUGAACAGAUGCUUCUCCAUGUUGGACAUCGUCGUGCGGCUUCGGUGGGGUGGGCGCGGGCGAGGCAGCAGGGACACCGGUGCAAGAAGGUCCGCACCCGGCCGGCGCUCCUUUGUUUUGGUCUCACUUCCUGUAUUACGGCGUGCGGCGCAGACGGUGACGUCAAACUCUGCGCCGGGGCGAAUUGAUGGGAGGGCGGUGCCGGAGGGCGGUGCCCGCAUGACGGACAGCGCCGGGCCCCGCCCACCUAAGCGCCGGCGUCUCUACAACCUGCCACUGGCUUUUGAGCUCUCCCGCUUAGUUUCUAAAGCUGCUAAGCUAGGAGCGAAUCCACAAAACCAGCGCCCACAGGCACUUUUUGUUUGCGAGUGUAGCUACCGAAGAAGACGGAAUGUGUCUAGACUUGCAUGUAAAAAAUAUCCAGGCUCCAGACUUGGCUAGUUAGGGGUGUUUGGGAGCUGCGCCAAAUGCUGCAAAGUAGUUAGUACCCCUUCCCCCAUCCUAGCUUUCUUUAUGCAUAAGGGUAACCUCUGCUUUCUUAGGUAACUCAAGUCCAUUCCCAAACGUCUCGGUCUUUGCUUGCAAUCUGUGCAGUUCAGAUGCCUCCUUCCUGAUCUAACUCCUUGCCCUGGCUGGUUGCUCAGUUUAUAGGAGAGCUGGCUGGCAUUUGCCUUCCCAAACCCUCCUGUUUCUGAGCGACGAAAAGAAAGACCCAUCUUUUGCUGGUACGGAUUUAUCUUUCUAGUGUUUUAUAAAUAUCCUCGCUCACGCUGAAUUCUGACAGGUUAGCUGCCAUUUUAGAUGAUGCAGGAGCGAAUGGCGAGGUGCAGAGACCCACACGCUGGCACCCAUCAAGCCUGUCACUGCCUGUUAGGUGCUUUAAAAAGAAAUGUAGGCUUUCCAUGGCAGCAAUAUGCACUGUAGCUUUCCUUUACAAACAUUCUUCCCACGCGGCACUAACAAGAGAGCAGAAGGCCCACUGCCCUCAUGAGUUAGCAGAAGAGACUAAGUGAGCGAAUUCUGUUUAGAGGUUAUUUUAGUCCAGGGCCCUGCAUUACUCAAGGGAUAGCUUGUUAAUCAGUUAAAGUGCCCCCGUGCUACAGGCAUUUCCUUAGAACAAAGCUUAUUUGUAUCAUUGUUGUUUGAGACAGGGUACAGCAGGCUAUCCUCUAUAGGGCAGAUUUUGUUCCUGUGCCCAUCAAACCAGACUGCAUAAUGGAAAUUGUUCAAGACUCCUGUCACUUGAUCAAAGUAGAGCUGGGGGGGACGGGCAAGGGACUCCUUCCUCAUGAUUGCACCUACUGAGGUCCCCCCCCUUGAGCCUUCCAAGUCCCCCUCCUGUGGUGCAGCUGAAUUCUGUAAGGUUGCCAUAGCACAGGACAGAAGCCUGGUUCACAUCUGUUAUGACAUUAACUACCCGAUCCUUGGGAGGAUUACUCUGCUGUCCCACGAUGCAAGUGGGUGCAGGCAGUGUGUCUAAGAAAGUGUUACGGGGAGUGUGGCUGAGGAGUUGGGACAUCAUCCUACACCAUAAGCUUAGCACUCACCUCCCAUCUCUAGCAAAGCUCUUCCUCCAAGGGAAGCUUUCCUAUAAAUGUCAUAUAUAAAUGUAUCAAAGUGAGAAUAGAGGGUGUACUGAGCUUCUCCGCUCACCCCCAGCCUGCUAGCUCCCCCCCUUUAGGUCCCUGGCCUUUCUUGAAAUUUACAAGUUCCUUGUCCAGGAUCUUUGGCUCCUCCUCUUAUACUCUUUCCUUUUCUUUAUUUUUUUCCAUGGUUAUGGUGAUGGAGCCUAGGGCUUCGUGACUACUAGACAAACACUCUACACUGAGCUACGUCCUAGCCAAUAGCUUUCUUCAUAAUAAAUUCUAAUUAGGUGGGAUGGUUUGGAAUACAAUCAUGGCAAACUCUGACAGGUGGAGCUAAUGACUACCACUACUUAUUAAAUGCGUAACUGCUAGGCAUUGCUCAGCACUUUCCAUAAAUAAACUCAUGUUAUCCUUACACGGGAGUAGGGAGACUCUAUUAAUAGCUCCAGUUUUCAGGGGAGGAAACCUAGGCAAAGGGAGCUAGGUAACUCCGCAGAGACCAUAGCUCUGGUUAAGGGUUGACAUCGGAUUCCCUGGAUACCCCAGAAGCAGUAAUAGAUCAAUCCAAUGUAAAUAACUUAACAAGAACAUCUCGGGGCUGAGGCUGUA